rnacentral:rRNA from 1 species
CCCUUAGAUGUUCUGGGCCGCACACGCGCUACACUGAAGGAGGCAGCGUGUACUCCUGGAUCGAAAGAUUUGGGUAACCCGCGAAUCUCCUUCGUGCUAGGGAUUGAGGUUUGCAAUUAUCCUUCAUGAACGAGGAAUUCCCAGUAAGUGCAAGUCAUAAGCUUGCGCUGACUACGUCCCUGCCCUUUGUACUCACCGCCCGUCGCUACUACCGAUUGAAUGAUUUAGUGAGGACUUCGGACUGGGACCGAUGCGGCUUUCGGGCUGCGUCGGUAUUCUGGAAAGAUGUCCAAACUGUAUCAUUUAGAGGAAGUAAAAGUCGUANCA